rnacentral:rRNA from 1 species
CCUUAGUACGGCGAGUGAGCGGCAAAAGCUCAAAUUUGAAAUCUGGUACCUUCGGUGCCCGAGUUGUAAUUUGGAGAGGGCAACUUUGGGGCCGUUCCUUGUCUAUGUUCCUUGGAACAGGACGUCAUAGAGGGUGAGAAUCCCGUGUGGCGAGGAGUGCGGUUCUUUGUAAAGUGCCUUCGAAGAGUCGAGUUGUUUGGGAAUGCAGCUCUAAGUGGGUGGUAAAUUCCAUCUAAAGCUAAAUAUUGGCGAGAGACCGAUAGCGAACAAGUACAGUGAUGGAAAGAUGAAAAGAACUUUGAAAAGAGAGUGAAAAAGUACGUGAAAUUGUUGAAAGGGAAGGGCAUUUGAUCAGACAUGGUGUUUUGUGCCCUCUGCUCCUUGUGGGUAGGGGAAUCUCGCAUUUCACUGGGCCAGCAUCAGUUUUGGUGGCAGGAUAAAUCCAUAGGAAUGUAGCUUGCCUCGGUAAGUAUUAUAGCCUGUGGGAAUACUGCCAGCUGGGACUGAGGACUGCGACGUAAGUCAAGGAUGCUGGCAUAAUGGUUAUAUGCCGCCCGUCUU